CCUCCACCCGUGUUUAUUAUACCUUGUUGCUUCGGCGGGCCCGCCGUCAGGCCGCCGGGGGGCUUCUGCCCCCGGGCACGCGCCCGCCGAAGACAUCUCGAACUCUGUCUGAAGAUUGUAGUCUGAGUAUAAAUAUAAAUUAUUUAAAACUUUCAACAACGGAUCUCUUGGUUCCGGCAUCGAUGAAAAACGCAGCGAAAUGCGAUACGUAAUGUGAAUUGCAGAAUUCAGUGAAUCAUCGAGUCUUUGAACGCACAUUGCGCCCUCUGGUAUUCCGGAGGGCAUGCCUGUCCGAGCGUCAUUGCUGCCCUCAAGCACGGCUUGUGUGUUGGGCCCCGUCCUCCGAUCCGGGGGACGGGCCCGAAAGGCAGCGGCGGCACCGCGUCCGGUCCUCGAGCGUAUGGGGCUUUGUCACCCGCUCUGUAGGCCCGGCCGGCGCUUGCCGAUCAACCAAAUUUUUAUCCAGGUU
rnacentral:rRNA from 1 species